rnacentral:rRNA from 1 species
GGGGGACGGAGAAGGCUAUGUUGGCCGGGCGACGGUUGUCCCGGUUUAAGCGUGUAGGUGUGUGUUCCAGGUAAAUCCGGUUCACUUUAACACUGAGGCGUGAUGACGAGGCACUACGGUGCUGAAGCAACAAAUGCCCUGCUUCCAGGAAAAGCCUCUAAGCAUCAGGUAACAUCAAAUCGUACCCCAAACCGACACAGGUGGUCAGGUAGAGAAUACCAAGGCGCUUGAGAGAACUCGGGUGAAGGAACUAGGCAAAAUGGUGCCGUAACUUCGGGAGAAGGCACGCUGACACGUAGGUGAAGUGAUUUACUCAUGGAGCUGAAGUCAGUCGAAGAUACCAGCUGGCUGCAACUGUUUAUUAAAAACACAGCACUGUGCAAACACGAAAGUGGACGUAUACGGUGUGACGCCUGCCCGGUGCCGGAAGGUUAAUUGAUGGGGUCAGCGCAAGCGAAGCUCCUGAUCGAAGCCCCGGUAAACGGCGGCCGUAACUAUAACGGUCCUAAGGUAGCGAAAUUCCUUGUCGGGUAAGUUCCGACCUGCACGAAUGGCGUAAUGAUGGCCAGGCUGUCUCCACCCGAGACUCAGUGAAAUUGAACUCGCUGUGAAGAUGCAGUGUACCCGCGGCAAGACGGAAAGACCCCGUGAACCUUUACUAUAGCUUGACACUGAACAUUGAGCCUUGAUGUGUAGGAUAGGUGGGAGGCUUUGAAGCGUGGACGCCAGUCUGCAUGGAGCCGACCUUGAAAUACCACCCUUUAAUGUUUGAUGUUCUAACGUGGACCCGUAAUCCGGGUUGCGGACAGUGUCUGGUGGGUAGUUUGACUGGGGCGGUCUCCUCCUAAAGAGUAACGGAGGAGCACGAAGGUUGGCUAAUCCUGGUCGGACAUCAGGAGGUUAGUGCAAUGGCAUAAGCCAGCUUGACUGCGAGCGUGACGGCGCGAGCAGGUGCGAAAGCAGGUCAUAGUGAUCCGGUGGUUCUGAAUGGAAGGGCCAUCGCUCAACGGAUAAAAGGUACUCCGGGGAUAACAGGCUGAUACCGCCCAAGAGUUCAUAUCGACGGCGGUGUUUGGCACCUCGAUGUCGGCUCAUCACAUCCUGGGGCUGAAGUAGGUCCCAAGGGUAUGGCUGUUCGCCAUUUAAAGUGGUACGCGAGCUGGGUUUAGAACGUCGUGAGACAGUUCGGUCCCUAUCUGCCGUGGGCGCUGGAGAACUGAGGGGGGCUGCUCCUAGUACGAGAGGACCGGAGUGGACGCAUCACUGGUGUUCGGGUUGUCAUGCCAAUGGCACUGCCCGGUAGCUAAAUGCGGAAGAGAUAAGUGCUGAAAGCAUCUAAGCACGAAACUUGCCCCGA